rnacentral:piRNA from 1 species
UGGUAUUCGAAGCACCCAUUGCCACAAUUC